UUUUUAUUCAUUCAUUCAACAGAAAAUGGGAUUACAACAGCCUAAGUCAUCUGCCACUGGCAAGAUAAGAUCACGUUUGUCAAACCACAAUACAAGGAAGAAACAAGAGAUUUUUUGAGGAGACAACCUGAAGGAAGCGAGAGAUAUGAAAAUGAGAGAAGAAAAGAGAGAAAAGGAGACAUAUGAAGAGGACAGGAAAGAAUGUCAGCAGGAGGCCUCACGAAAUGUUGGACCGCUUUAGGAGUUUCUACUUGAGAUGCUGUGAUAACAUGGGAAUAACUGACUGUAGCAGAUUGCUGUGGGCUGAUAACACUAGUCAUGCAUUUGUCACUCUGCAGGACUUCUCCUCAUCACCAUAUUUGUAUGUUCUGUGUUGACUUGGUUAUGGAUUAGUAAACUUAGUAAAAAGUCAAAUCUUCACACACGAUCUGCAGUAGCCCUGUUAUUCUUCUCGCUGUGUGGCACGUGCACGCUUAUGAGCUGCAUCAUUAGCACUGCUCGACCUCCUGACCUCUGCGCCGACUCCCAUCAGCUCAACACAGGCACAAACACAUGCACAGCAGGUCGUAACCCCCCCCCCCCUCCAUCUCAUCGCAGGUCACGGAGGGUCACUGAGGAUCAGAAGGUAGUGGGAUUUAAAAGCAAAGGACAUGAAGAGUAUCAGAGUGGGGGAGGGGGGGGACAAGAAGCGAAGGAGGGAGAGAGAAAGCUUUUGUUAGUGUUUAAAAAUGGAAGAGACUGAGAAAUGGGAGAGCCUUCUAAUCAGUUUAGUAAAAUCAAUUUAUCAUUGACUCAGUAUAAUUAUGUGGUUUUUCGAGUCAGUUUAAAGGAUCAUCUUGGUUUAUUACAAUUUGGCUCUUAGUUUAUUUUGUAGUUUUUCCAGCAUUUCUAUCAGUCAACAUUAUAAUCACUGAAGUUAUUGCCACAAACAUGAGCCAGUCUGCUUUUAUCAAGCUAUGAACAUGUGUUUCCACUGCAGUAGAUAACCACUCUGAGUAACGUCCAACCUGAAAAGACCCCUCUCUCUCUCUUUACCAUGUCUUACACUAAAACUGCUCUCUAUGUUCAGCUCUUUGUGCUUUGAAGUUCCUGUGUUCCUGUUUGUACUUUCAGAUAUCAGCCUUAUUUUGCUGUUUACUGAUGGCUUUCAGUCAUUCUGAAGCUGUGUUGAAUUACUGCAUUUUACACUGCAGAUGCUUCACAUUAAAAGCUUUACACCAGCAAACCAGCGGGACGCUGGCAAAAGUAUUUCUCAUCACAGUGCCGUUCUUCAGUGAAAACAGGUUUACACAGCAAGAUAUGAACAUGAUAAGUUCUGUACAGGAACAGUACAGACAGACACAGCCACAAUGAGCAGUUAGAUGAGGAGAUGCAGACAACAGGUUCUUACUACAGUCUGUGUGAAGCAGCACAGCACCGACACAUUAUCAAGGUGAACAACUGCUUUUAUCCAAGCCUGCCUGAGGAAAAACACUUGGCUUGAAAGUCAGAGUAUUCCCCCAGCUGAGAUCUGGGCACACAGUGAUCACUGAAAAUAAUAAUAAUAAUAAGGAACACAAGCAGUGGGACGAUCAGAUGGGCUUUAAAAAACAAACAGGUGAAGGUAUUUUAUCAGGCAGGUAAUCCAAGUGUAACGGCUAAAAUUCAAAGUGAUUUGAAAUACUGGGAACAGGAAAGUUUGGUUGCAAACACUGAAUUUAAAGGAGAAAGAAUGAAAAGACAGAAAAAUAGGCUUAAUCUUGAGCCGCGGAGUGUCUCCAGCUUUAAGCCAGAUCUCCCAUUCACUCACACAAAGACCCAGAGAUGCUCUGCUUUGUCCAUCCCCUAAAGCAGUGGCUGCGUUUGUGUGUGUGUUCGCUCUCGCUCUGCUCACUCUGUGCUUGUGUGAGCAGAUCUUUAACUCUGUGGUGACCUUUGACUUUUGUGUGUGUGAGUGUAGCUGCAGUCUCUGAAUAAAUAUCCCUCCACCGACACGGCCGGUAUCAGGGUGUCGAUCUGGUCUAUUGUGGCGCUUAUGAUAACAGAGGGAGCUGUCGACCUUUACACCUCAGCACACACAGUCGUACUUCUUCAUGAGCUUUGAUCAGAGUUUCCUGACGAGACAAACGCAGCAUUUCUCAAAGUGAACUGGACUUUUAUUUCUCGGACGCUAGAAAUAACUCGACAACUUUGCAACUCUACUCAUUUUGAUAUUGAUGAAGACACGCCUCCUUCUCCGUCGCCCCUCCCACCGCUCUCUCUCUUUUUUUCUCACACACUCAUUCCCGGCCUCUAUCAUGCGCCAAACACUGGAAAAACAAAGCAGCGGAAGUCUCAUUCAUCUGCAGGACUAAUGUUUACACAGCCUCUGUUGUUUCACUUGCUCGGUCACUCUCUGUCCCUUUCUCCCCCUCUCUCAUUCAUUCAUUCACUCACUCCUUACUUUUCCUUUUCCUUUUUUUUUUUUUUUUGCUGUUUUUCCACACAGGGUGUAAUUGUGCUGUAUGGGGGUUAAUGUUGCAAGUCUCUGAAUCCGUUAGAAAUCAGAUUCAUCUUAAGCAAACAAUGAGUGGAUACUUUAGAGGCCUUGGACAAAAUCUGCAGAAAUCAAAGUUUAAGUUCAGAACAAAAAAAUUCAGUCAAUUAAAAAAUAAAACUAGUUUUUCAGGACUUGAGGUUUUCAGGACUUUGUUUAAUCAGAUUUUUCUGUGCUGGGAACCUCAGCAAACAACCUCACAACUGUCAGCAGAUUUAAAUCCACACACUCAGUGAUAAGAGCUCACAGAAAUGUGAAGUAACCAAAACAAAAACUGUGUUCACUGUGAGAAGCUGACUAAGUGGUUUAAUAGACUUACUUGCAUUGUUGUGUACAUAUCUGAGAAUGUUAUUUUGUGGUUUAAAGAUGUGACUUUAUGUCGACACGACUUACAAAGUGAAAGUGGGACGUCAGCAGCAGCAGCCUCAGUCUUCCAUGGGAGUUGACACAGGAGUGUGUUCAGCCACAGUGUUGAGUGCAGGUCACCUGUGCUCUCAGAGCCAAACACACAGCGGCUGAAUGUGCAAGUUACAGGUUAAGAUAAGACGUUAAGCACAUGAGAUGGAAGAAAAUAGACCUGUAUAUGUUUCAUUCAACCUUUAUGGUCCAAUCAGAGCAGCUCACUCAAAGCUGUGAAAGCAGGAAAGCAGAACUGACUCUCCACAUGCACAAGCCCUACUUCAGUUCAGUUUUUAAGGUAUUUGUGCUUUACUUUAGUAUUUCUACUUUAUACUUCUACUGUCCCACAUUUUAGAGUGGAAAUACUGUACAUUUUACUCCACUACACACAAGGUUCCCAGAAGGAUACAUGAUAAUUAUAAUUAGCUUCACUUUUAUCAACUGCAUCAUUCAUGAUCCAAUGAUAUAUUUAAUCUGAAAUAGUCAUUCUGCAUAUGAAGUACUUUUACUUUUGGCACAUUAUAUAUAUUUUGAUGUAGAUUCUUGUGUAUUUUUAAAUUAAAUGACUGAAUGCAGAACUUCUACUUGUAACUCAUCUCAAAUUUCUACACUGUGGUGUUGCUGCUUUUACUAAAUAAAAGUGCUUUUGGUGCUUCUUCCACCACUGGAAUGGAUUUAUAGUUCGAGUGUUGGAUUUACUCGGUCAGUUGUCGUGAUGUAUCACUGUACAGGGGUUACUGUCAGUUCUCAGAAACAUGGUUCCUGGGAGAACGUGGUCCAUUUUCUCAUGCUUCAUUUUGUACAUUCUGUGUGAAAAAGAGUGUGAAAAAGUAUUUUUUUUUCACUGAUUUCCUGUUGUUGAGGAAGCUCCACCCUAUCAAGAACACACUGAUCUCAAAUAAGAACCACACAUCCUUUAAUGUUUUCUUUUUCAUUUCUUGUUUCCCCCCCCACCCUACCCCACCCUCCGUGUUAUUUUUGACGACACUUUGACAGCUGAGCGUGGAGCCGCUCUGUUGCCCAGUUAAAGGGGAUUCAGUCAUUUUUCACGCUGUGGAUUUCAGAUUUGAAAUAUCUUCCUCUUACCCUGCUACCCUCAGCUCAUUAAAUCAAGCCUGUGUGAAGGGUGCUGGGGGGGCUAAGAGGGGAGGGGGGCCACCUGUGAGCCAUUUGUGGGUCCUGACCCCUAAUUUUGAGAAACCCUCUGCAGUAAUGCAACACCUCUGGGAAAGACAAAACUUGAGCUACGCUUUGAAUGUUGGAGGCCUCCAGUAGCUGAUAAUAUCGUAUCUGUUAGAUGAUGAAGUGAACAGAUCAAAUGAGAUGAGGUGGGUCUUUACGGGGGAAACUGGAGUGAAAACAAAUGUUCUUAAUUUUAAUACAUCAGUUUGAAAUAUGUUUAAAUAAAACUAUUCUAUAAAAAUCUAUAGAAUGUAAUAAUGUCAGAAAAAUGUCUUUCUUGUGCUCAACUCAAAAGUUUUUAUCCUCUGUGGUUGUUUUAGGACAGUUUCUACACUGUCAGACUUAGAUUGAUUGUCUAAGCUGCUUUUUUUUUUUUUUUUUUUUUUCUAAAUGUACCUUAAUUAAAGUUGUCCUGUGGAGUUUUCCCAUAAACAAACAACUAUGACAUAAGGUUCAUUCCUGAAAACUGUGUGAUAGAAAGCUCUGGAAUAGCUACUAAAUGGACUUUGUGGUGUGAUUGUUUUUUUUUUUUUUUCAACUGCUGCCAAGAAUAAAGUCAGUAUUUAGUUUUACACCAACAUGCAAGUCCUUAAAAUGCUCAAAGAAAUGAAAUGGAAAGAUCUGUGAUUCCAUGAUGACUGGAUAAACUGAUGAAGAUCACCUUUUAUGAUCAAAAGCUCGUUUCAGUCUGAGUGAAACCAGUUUACUUGCAGUUGAACGUUGUACAAAAUAGUUGCCCAAUGAAGACUGAACAGUCUGAGGAGGAUAACCAAAAGAAAAGUUGUUGUUGAGUUUUACAGAUGUUUUUUUUUCAAAGCUUAAACCAACAAAAAUCAAACCACAUUCUUGUCAUUUUAUAUUGGUUCAGGCAGCAGCAGUCUCAGUGUUGGACAGUUUAAAGCAUACAGCAUGAAUCCAAAACCACUGGGGAUAAGUGGGAAAAUGUUUUUUUGUGAUAUGAGUGAAAUGACCUUCAUUCCUCCACUGGUGUUCUCUUUUCCCUCUGCCGUCCCCAGAGGUGGAUUUCCUAAGAAAUUCCCACGCCUUCUUAGAAAUGGCUGAAUGGAAUUCCUCAAGCAGCUUUUCUCCUUUUCCUUCUACUUUUUUUCCGACUGUAAAAAAAAGACAGUGGGCCUCCAUUCAUUCUCCACGCCUCUCUUUCAUCUCCCACUUUCUCUUUCUCCCACUUUUUCUUGGUCCCUUGCUCCCACUCUUUCAAAACCAUCUACAAUUUGUCUCACUUUCUCUACCCACCUUUCUGUCUUUCUUUCUUUCUUUUUAUUCUAUGAUGUCUGUAGAAAACCUGAACCACUUUAAAGCCCUGCUCUCUUUCUUUAAGAUUUCAAGGCAUGUUUGUCACUUUGUUUUGACUUUGACAGGAAGUUGUGGUAACCAUGGAGAUGGUGCAGCUUCACCUGUUUCUGUGGUCUGUGGUACCACAUGCAAACACACACACACACACACACACACACACUCAGUGACAUCAGCAGUGUCUUUCCAGCGUGUUCUGUGAUGUUCUUGCGCAGCCACAAGACGGCAUGCUGCAAGGAAACUUUUUCUUGUCAGAGAGGAAGUGGACAGACAUGAUGCUGUAUUUCUAGGAAACACAUGAAGAAAAAAAUCUGUCACUUUUUUUAUCACAUCAAAGUGGCUGCAGGAAAACAGCAGCAGGUCAUGUUGUGUUCAGGUUACUGUUCACACAUGAGAUGUCUUGAGUGUUGUCUUCACAGGUUGACACAUUCUGUAUUUGCAGGCUCUGUUAUUUUGUUCAUCACUUCUGCACAAGGUCUUUGUGUUUUUGUUUUUAUCAUCACCUGUUUCUGACAGUUUCCUGUCUCAUGUAUGCAAAGACCCACAUCACAUGUGAUGAAAGGAAGUGGCACUUUUAUUAUACUUUCACUGGAUAGAUUUGAUACAAGCAGCACUGUUGUUGGCAGCUGUUAAGAAUAAGAAAUUCAUUUAUCUGGUUGAAAGUUGCUGAGAGUUUAUAGGAGACAGGAUCUUUGUCUGAAUUUGAAUUAGACAGAAUUUAACAUGAUUAAAAAGUUUAUUGUAGAGCUCUCUCUAAAAUCAUGCACAUUAACAGCAGGGAGAUGUUUUUUAUCUGCAGUCAUAGCAGAUGAACUAAAAGAGCAUCACCUCAGAGAGACCUGAGCUUGAAAGCUGAGACUCACCGUCCGUCAUGACCUCUGGAUAGUGAUCAUGGUUUCCAGGUUUUCAGAUCCUUGUUCUACCAUUAACUCGUUCAUUCCAGUUUCUGCAAGAUGAAAUGAAUAGAGAGUUGUUUUUCAGUGGGUGUCUCUGCUCUCUGACAAGGUGAAAACUGUAAGCUGUUGCUGUAUCCUUUGAAGUGUAGGGAUGUGAUUAGCACAUGGCAGGAGUGUUGGAUCCAUCGUUUCCUCUUCCUGGCAGUUGGUCUGUCUUGACUUCACAUGAGUACGACAUUUAGCUAUUAGAGUGAUCCUGGAUGAAGUGAAAAGAGAGGUGUUUUUCAAUAGAAAAUAUCAGGGGUUUUAUUGAAGGUAAAACAGAUAUUAGAGGCGUUAGUCAGGAAGUUGUUGCCUAUAUAAAGUGAAGUCCUGUCCCAACAAAAUUGCACACAGUUCUCCCAGGAGACGUCUCCUACCCUACCUUCACUGGCAGGAAACAGAGUUUGUAGAAUGUAUAACAUUAUUUUAUGAGUCAGUUUAUUGUUUGUGGAUGAGAGAGGAGAAGAGGCGUCUAAGUGAUGAAAUUCCUGGAAGAAGCGAUGGCAAAUGUUCUUUAUCUUCAGCUGCAAACACAAAAUCCCUGAUCCAAAAAUCACAGUGGUUUUUCAGAAUCCACAUGUGAAAUACAUUCAGAAUGAAUAAUUAAAUAAAUGUGACACUGUGUUUCUUUUUUUUCUUCUUAAUUAGUGAUAUUAAGGAGAUGUAUCGAGUCCAGAAUCAGAACCAAAUCAUGCUUGGCUGGACAAAAAUUUCCAGGAAAAGGAAAAGUAAUUAGAGUAUGAGGUGUUUUGAGGAUGCUCCGAGUGUCUGAUUCAGAUAUUUGCUGACUGAUUAUAAAGCCAGGACCCCGACCACCUGUGUCUCGUGCUCUCUGCCUGUAGAACAAAUAAAAUCAUGUCUGAGCACUUGAGAAGAAACUUGUCGUUAUUAAAACUCCCACAGAACACAUGAAUGAAAUGUGUGUAUGAAAACUUAAAAAGAAGAAGGCUGGGAUUAGACAGGUCAAAGAAAAUGAAUAAUUAAACAAGUUUUACUUCAGGUGACAUUUAUAUUCAUUUUUCAUUAGUUUGUGAAUGUGUGAAACAAGUAGGAAACAUGCUGUAGAGUUUAUAUAUUUCAUCUGGUUUGCAGGCGACACUAUGAAAAGCUGCAAGGAUCUUAUGUUUAAUAUGGUUUUAGCUGUUCUUCUGUAUCUCAUACCGAGUAGUACACAGGGCGCACUGUUUCAGCCUAUACAAAUAUACGUCAUGUAAGCAGGGAGGAGCUGGAGAGAGGAAUAUGCUUCAUCUGCAAACAUUCUCUGUGUAAAUGAAGAUUAAAUAAACUAAACAAGUUCUCAGUCAGACAGUAUUUCUUUAAGCCGUGUCCUUUUACUCCCGUCAGUCAUCUGUCAACUCAGGUGAAAGGGAAUGAAGGCACUCCCACUGUUCAUACAGGUAGGUAUUAUCUGCCUGUCAUUUAUCCAUAAGGCCAUUCAUCUGUACAGUGCUGUAUAUUCAGGGUUAGAGGUAAUACUGUGGCUGGGAAGAGUUACAGUAACGACGUCAUUACCACUCUGUCAGAGUUUUACUUUGACUUUUUACUUUUUAAAAGGUGCUUGUUUGUUUCAAAGGUUUAUAAGUUG